rnacentral:snRNA from 1 species
GGAUGUGAGGGUGAUCUGGCUGCGACAUUUGUCACCCCAUUGAUCACCAGAGUUGAUUCGGCUGAUCUGGCUGGUUAGGUGGGUAUCCCCUUUCUCUUUCACCACUCCAUGUGCGUCCCUCCCAAAGCAGUGUGCUUGGUCGAAGAGGGCGACCAUCCUCGCUAGAGGAGGACCAUUCUUUGGUCAAGGGAACUUGAGUAGUUACACUUCCCUGCUAGAAUCUCCAAACAAGUUCUAAAAGACAACUUUAGUAAAAAUGGGAAUCCUAAAAAGAGCUGACAGUUUUUUAUUU